rnacentral:pre_miRNA from 1 species
AGGAGGAACAACCGCAGUGGCGGGGCCAGCUCUGGAGCCCUGGAUUCAGCCCCCGCAGUAAGGCCAGAGCUCUCGGUCUGCAGGGCCUGGAGGCUCCGGGGCGGG